AAGGGCUUUUAGCUUAAUUAAAGUGUCUGUUUUGCAUACAGAGGAUGUGGGUUAAUAUCCCGUAAGUCUUA
rnacentral:tRNA from 1 species